GCAGUCGUGGCCGAGUGGUUAAGGCGAUGGACUAUAAAUCCAUUUGGGGUCUCCCCGCACGCGUUCGAAUCCUGUCGACUGCG
rnacentral:tRNA from 1 species